ACUGACAUUUGUACGAUAGAACAACAUUUUAAUUACAAAGUAAAUGAAAUGUUUACUUCAUGACAAAUGAAUGGCCUUUCAACCCAAGGGCAGACAACCCUGGAUCUGCCACAGAGACGAAGUGCCACAACUACAUAAAGAUCAAGAUUGCCGUUUCAUUUUGUGCUCACUUUACAGAUUAUUAGCAUUCAUCAGAUGCUUGCAUGUUUAUGGUGCUAUAUGACUGGAUUGGUUUCCAUAUUUUUAAAAUCGACGAGUUUUCAAUGUAAUGUCAUAAAAAUACGACAAAAUAGUGUUUUCAGCUGCAAUGCGCAAGUCAGAAACAUACCUGUGCGAUAUGGUACUACCCGGUGGUGCUAAAAUCACGUGACAUUAGAAUAUGCAAAGUUUGACAUGAACUCACGUGUACGUGUGUGAAUUAUGUGUUUGAAAUAUUGCAAUGGGUGUUUAUGAGCUAAUAAUAAUUAUAACGUGAAAAUCAAAGAAGUAUAAUUUUUAGAAAAUCAGAUUUUUUUUAAAGAAAACCUUAAUUAUAAUGAACUUUAUAACAGACUUUUUAACCGAUAUUGUUUCGAAAGAACUUGAAGAAAAUCUUACUUUGUGGAUUUUUUUUCCUCGUGUUUUUCAAAAAUUAUGUGAUAAAUCAGUGACAGUCACUACGAUCCUCUGUCAGCUGGCAUAUUUUUAUUGUGUGAUCUGUGUAGAGGGUUUUUCUAUAACAUACAUGCAGGCGUCGGAACGGGAGGGGGGUUAGCCCUCCCCCCCACACACUUUUUUUGCAAAGAUAGACAUAAUAUAGACAUUGAAUAUUGGGGGUUUACCUUUUUUAUUGGUUUAGCCCCUACUUUCAAUUAGCCACCCCACUUAUAAUUUGCUUCCGACGCCUAUGUAUAAUCAAUAGAAUAGCGUAUUUUCUGGUUAAAAAUUGUUCUUUAUUUUAAAGGAAUUAAACAUACUGUAAGUUGUA